AUGGUGGAUACCCCAAAAGAGAGCGAUAACGAGGACCAACGGGCCGCGGCAGAAGAUAACCCCGCCGACAAACAACCAAAACGGCGGCGCAGACGCCGCCCUAAGUCCCGCCUCGAAAAUAACAGUGCUCCUAAGGACCCCGCAAUACAGCAGGGCACACAAGUGGACGACGAACAUGCAGAUAAGCAACCGUCCGAACAGGACGAGUCAGAUAAUCACGCGCAAAUUCUGGAACAGGUUCCUCACCAAAAAGAACCAAAUAGUCGACUGUCCGGACGCCGAAGCCUUAGCUGCUUUUAA
rnacentral:rRNA from 1 species